ACAAGUCGAACGGCAGCACAGAGGAGCUUGCUCCUUGGGUGGCGAGUGGCGGACGGGUGAGGAAUACAUCGGAAUCUACUUUUUCGUGGGGGAUAACGUAGGGAAACUUACGCUAAUACCGCAUACGACCUACGGGUGAAAGCAGGGGAUCUUCGGACCUUGCGCGAUUGAAUGAGCCGAUGUCGGAUUAGCUAGUUGGCGGGGUAAAGGCCCACCAAGGCGACGAUCCGUAGCUGGUCUGAGAGGAUGAUCAGCCACACUGGAACUGAGACACGGUCCAGACUCCUACGGGAGGCAGCAGUGGGGAAUAUUGGACAAUGGGCGCAAGCCUGAUCCAGCCAUACCGCGUGGGUGAAGAAGGCCUUCGGGUUGUAAAGCCCUUUGUGGGAAAGAAAACCAG
rnacentral:rRNA from 1 species